GGAGGCGGGCGGCAGCGGGCGGCUCUGCCCCUCCUGCCCUCAGGGCCCCCGAGGCCGCCGCGCUGCGCGGGGCUUGGUGAGGCAGCCCGGAGGGGACUCAGGAUGGUUCCUCCCCUCAGCGGGAAGGGCGUCGCGGCUCGGGAGAGGCGUCCCGAAGGGAUCCAGACCGGGGUGGCCCGGCCGGGGCCGCAUGCCGCUCCCCGCGGCCCGUUCCCCGGUAACGCCGCAGCAGCGCCGCGGUGAUGGGGUUGGUCACCAGCAGCGGCUCCCCGGGCUCGGAGCUGCGCUCGCACGCCUCACCGAGACUGAUAAAUCUUUCAUGCACUCACGCAGGCUGUUUCUCUCAGCAGAGCAAAAUAAAAGGGUUUACAUGGCAAGUUGUGGCAAAGAACAGCAGCUUCAUGUAGAAAGGAAGGACUGCAACUCUGUGAGCUCUGCAGCUUGACAGGUCCCAAUCCAUUGCCUGAACAUGAAGGUUUGUCUUAGGAGUUCCCAAAAGCUCCUCUUGGGAGUGAACAGUGCUCUCCUAAUCCAAGUGAGUUGGAGUACCCUCACACCACAUAGUUGUGUCUGUGAUGGAAGCUGCAUUAACUGUUUCAGUGGAGGGAAAAAGUCCUGGCAGCCCCAUGAUUAAUUGAUGAAACCUCAUUUCUGUGAGUUUCUGUCUCAUGCUUGACUGAGAGCUUGACCUGAAUCUUGCCCUACAAUUGGGUCAUUCUCUACCCAGCUGGGAGAGAGCAGGAUGAGUCCUGCCAUGGUGGGCAUAUGCACCCUGCUGUGAUUUCCAGGCUGACUUGGAAAACAAAGAAACCUCCUUCUUCCAGAUGUUGGGUUGUUUCAUGAUUGGCAGAACUGCUGUAGUCCAGUUUCCUACAGAUUGAUAGCUGGCAGAGGGUGGGCACCCUCAGUGAAGAGGCUUGUAGGACCUCACUGAGCCAGGAUUAGCUCUUGCACCUUUAUCCCUCUGUUUUGCUUAAAACAAACCAGUGAGUUCAGCACUUCCUGAGCUUGUAGGAGCUAAGAGACAGGACCAGGGGAAAGAAAGAUCCAGAUCCAGUGAGUUUAAUGGUGUCAGCCUCAAUUCUCUGGGAAAAAAAGGUCUUGAAAACUACCCUUUUAAUCAGGAAGAGUUAAACCAGGAUGAAAUCUGACAAGGAUUUGACCCUCCACCACUGUGACAGGGGUGAUUCUGCACAGAAGGAGCAGAACUGGGACACCCGGUAACAUUUCCUUGCUCCUUCCCACCCUAAAACAUGUUCUGCAGCGUGGUUUCCAAAGUUCUGGGACUUGAGGGUGUGCAGGAUACUCCUUCCAGAGCAGACAUCUGCAUAAAUUGCCAUAAUAAUACUGUAAAGCAGUAGGAAAAGCAGUUUUUCCCUCCUACGUGCUCUCUACCCCUGCUCAUUCCCAAUGCUCCUGAUAAUAUAAAAUGAACAUACUCUCCCAGUUUAUCAUUUAGUGGCCACAAUCCAAUGAACUCCUCAAAGUUUUCCCCUCCUGCUCUCCCCACAGCCCUGUUCUUGCCUCCAGCCUCCCAGAGACAUCCCCAUCCCUCACACGAGCCUGGGCUCUUUCCCUGCUGCAGGAAACUCACACAAGCAGACACGGGGGAAAGGGGGAUGAAGCUGCUUUGAGAGGCAGGAGAGGAGCUGGCCUGUAGUGAGGGAAGGAUGUGGCUGCUAAGCUUCUGCCAAAAGUGGAGGUUUAGAAAGCUGCCACACAAUCCUGGGACGGCGUUUGUGCAGGAGCGGCUCAAGACAGCAGCAACUGGUUCCCAUCAAGUGAGGACUGGUUGUAUCUGCAAGUAUGAUCAAGCCAUCCUAACAGCAAGGGCUGGAAGGACUGGCUAGUGUGGUUUCUGAAAUUCACAUGGCAGCAGAAGACAAAAUGCAUUCUCCAGCCUUUUUUCGUGGGGUUCAGGGCAACAUAAACAAUAAUAAAGAGCAGGGAUGACUAAAAUAGGAAGGCUGGUUUUGCGGGCAUGACAGGAGCAAAAAUAGACAUAUUUUAUAAAUAAAGAUGUCCUGGAAAUCAGAGACUCCCAAGUUUCAUGCUCACCAGUUCAGCUGUUCAGGCUGGGGGUCUUCUCCACCAGUAGUGCUCAGGGGAUUUGUGAGGGCAUAAAUGAGCAGUAAUAUAAGCUCAUGCAUGAGAUUCCCUUCGUGUAAAGCAGCCUCAUUAGUUGAUCGACUUGGGGAUGUCAUUUUAACCAACAGACUCCAGUUAAAUUAGAGCUGGGGGUUUGCUCAGAAUAGGUUAAAUCCAAGUAUUUGAAGAGAGCUGCACAUGUAUUUUCAUUAAGCCCAGGACUGCCGUAUGUGUUGUUAAAGAACUCAAAGUACACCAGUGUGGCUUGAGAAAAGAAAGCUUUUGAGCUGACCUUCUUCCAGGAGAAUGAAUUCAUGUUUUCAGAAGUGAGCAAGUCUCACUUCAGUGAUCUUAUCUCAAAAAAAAAAGGCAAUAAGAAAAUGAGAAGAGACACGGAGGAGGGCGGUGAGGA